CUUACAACAUUCAAUCUCAACGUUUCAUAAGGAGACAAUGACCAGCGCUCUUGUGAAGAAACCGUGGAAUGUUCACACCUAUGAAAGCAUGUCAUUUAAAGGACUGUACCCAAUUAGAGAAGGUGCAGGUUAUAUGUUGGUUGGAUUGUUAGUGCUUCUGUUUAGGAUUAUGUGCCGGAUUCUCUGUGGCAAAAAAUUUUGGCCUGUUCUAAGAAGAUAUAGCAUUCAUUUUGGGGAAGCCUUCUAGACACAAUGGAUUUGCUAAAUAUUGAGAACCCUUUCCUGUUGAUUUAGCUUUAGUUUUUCCCUCCAGUCAAACCAAACUUGGUCAACAAGGCUUAUGAUCAUGAUUGUAAUGCUUAUAAGGAAUUAAGAGUGUAUCAUUGUUACCAUGAGAGCAAGAAGUAGAUGAAAUUAUGUUGAUGA